CAAACAAGUACCGUGAGGGAAAGAUGAAAAGAACCUUGAAAAGGGGGUUAAAAGUACGUGAAAUUGUUAUUAGGAAAGCACUUAGUCUCAUUGUGGAUUAGAUCAGUCUGUUUCGGCAGAUACUGUCCUAAUUAGUUAUGAUCAGUUAGCGUUGAUAAAGAAAAUUUGUGAUAAGGUAUUAGUGUAGUGCUAAACUUAAAGAUCACUUAUUAUUUGUCGAUACUGACUGAGGAAUGCUACUUAAUCUUUUUGAGUAAAUAGUUUGUGGAGUUAGGUUAAACAACAUGUUGAUUAGCUUAAUUAAAGCGAUCUAUUUGCUUUAAAACUUAAGUACAGGAUCAUAAUUAAAUGAUACUAAAU
rnacentral:rRNA from 1 species